UACGAAGGGGGCUAGCGUUGCUCGGAAUUACUGGGCGUAAAGCGCGCGCAGGCGGUCUUCCAAGUCAGUGGUGAAAGCCUGGAGCUCAACUCCAGAACUGCCAUUGAAACUGUUAGACUUGAGUACGAGAGAGGUGAGUGGAAUUCCCAGUGUAGAGGUGAAAUUCGUAGAUAUUGGGAAGAACACCGGUGGCGAAGGCGGCUCACUGGCUCGUAACUGACGCUCAGGCGCGACAGCGUGGGGAUCAAACAGG
rnacentral:rRNA from 1 species